UACGGAGGGAGCUAGCGUUGUUCGGAAUUACUGGGCGUAAAGCGCACGUAGGCGGCUUUGUAAGUUAGAGGUGAAAGCCCGGAGCUCAACUCCGGAAUUGCCUUUAAGACUGCAUCGCUUGAAUCCAGGAGAGGUGAGUGGAAUUCCGAGUGUAGAGGUGAAAUUCGUAGAUAUUGGGAAGAACACCGGUGGCGAAGGCGGCUCACUGGCUCGUAUCUGACGCUCAGGCGCGACAGCGUGGGGAUCAAACAGG
rnacentral:rRNA from 1 species